UAAAUGAGGUGUUACUAAAUCAUC
rnacentral:siRNA from 1 species